UACGUAGGGGCAAGCGUUGUCCGGAUUUAUUGGGCGUAAAGAGCGUGUAGGCGGCCAGACAGGUCCGUUGUGAAAACUCGAGGCUCAACCUCGAGAUGUCGAUGGAACCGUCUGGCUAGAGUCCGGAAGAGGAGUGUGGAAGUUCCUGGUGAGCGGUGAAAUUGCGCAGAGUAUCAAGGAAGAACACCUAUGGCGAAGGCAGCACUCUGGGACGGUAC
rnacentral:rRNA from 1 species